rnacentral:rRNA from 1 species
UACGAAGGGGGCUAGCGUUGUUCGGAAUUACUGGGCGUAAAGCGCGCGCAGGCGGUUCUUCAAGUCAGUGGUGAAAUCCCGGAGCUCAACUCCGGAACUGCCCUUGAAACUGCAAUGCUAGAAUCUUGGAGAGGCGAGUGGAAUUCCGAGUGUAGAGGUGAAAUUCGUAGAUAUUCGGAAGAACACCAGUGGCGAAGGCGACUCGCUGGACAAGUAUUGACGCUGAGGUGCGAAAGCGUGGGGAGCAAACAGG